rnacentral:lncRNA from 1 species
UAUAUUUUGACUAUUUUAUUUAUUGUGUCUGUUUAUUUAACGCAUCAAUGUAAAUAUAACUGAAUUUGAUGAGACUGUCAUUAAAGUGAGAGGGUUAGCGCUAUAGAACCAGGUUUAAUCCACCAUUUUCUACAUUUGAAAAUGCCUGUACCAAGUCAGGAAUAUGACAGUUCUUGUCCAUUCGUUUUUGAUGCGUUUUGUUAUUUGAUUUUGC